GAUGAACGCUGGCGGCGUGCUUAACACAUGCAAGUCGAACGGUGAACGAGGGAGCUUGCUCCCUCCGGAUCAGUGGCGAACGGGUGAGUAACACGUGAGCAAUCUGCCCUGGACUCUGGGAUAAGCGUUGGAAACGACGUCUAAUACCGGGUACGAGACGUGAAGGCAUCUUCAACGUCUGGAAAGAACUUCGGUCCAGGAUGAGCUCGCGGCCUAUCAGGUAGUUGGUGAGGUAACGGCUCACCAAGCCUACGACGGGUAGCCGGCCUGAGAGGGUGACCGGCCGCACUGGGACUGAGACACGGCCCAGACUCCUACGGGAGGCAGCAGUGGGGAAUAUUGCACAAUGGGCGCAAGCCUGAUGCAGCAACGCCGCGUGAGGGACGACGGCCUUCGGGUUGUAAACCUCUUUUAGCAGGGAAGAAGCGAAAGUGACGGUACCUGCAGAAAAAGCACCGGCUAACUACGUGCCAGCCGCCGCAGUAACAC
rnacentral:rRNA from 1 species